GACGAACGCUGGCGGCGUGCUUAACACAUGCAAGUCGAGCGAUGAAGCACCUUCGGGUGUGAAUUAGCGGCGAACGGGUGAGGAACACGUGAAGAAUCUGCCUUCAACUCUGGGAUAACUCCGGGAAACCGGGGCUAAUACCGGAUAUGAGCCUUGAUCGCAUGAUCGGGGCUGGAAAGUUUUUCGGUUGAAGAUGACUUCGCGGCCUAUCAGCUUGUUGGUGAGGUAAUGGCUCACCAAGGCGA
rnacentral:rRNA from 1 species